AUUCCAGGGGCUGCUACUAAUAACCUCAUUUGUGUCUUUGAGAGAUGGAUAGCGUCUAAUGAAGAAGUAUCCUGGAGUAAAGUACUUCAAGUUUGUGAUGAGUAUCCAGAGGAAUUUCGAAAGGCAAAAGCUGAAGUGAAGGGAUUCAUUGAUCAGCCAUCAGAUGAAAGACCUGUUGAUAGUAACAAUGGAACACAAAUAAAGCAAGUUAAUGAUCAGUCAUCAAAUGAAAACAUUUUGGACAAGGAGCCUAAAUUAAAGGACCUCCAUAGGCUUUUUGACAGUUCUGCUGCCCAUUAUUCAACUAUUGGUACUGCACUUGAUGUUGAAGUGGACAACUUAUUGCAUAGUCCAUUGUCAGCCUCUGAUAAGCUACGGACAGUAUUCAAGAGAUGGAUAGAGUCCAAUAAAGAAGUGACCUGGAGGAAUGCUCUUCAAGUUUGUGAAGAUUAUCCUGAUAAGUUUGAAAGAGUGAAGGCUGGCGUGGACAAAUUUCUUGAAUCAGAUAGAGCUCGUAAAGAAUAUU